GCUUGUCUCAAAGAUUAAGCCAUGCAUGUCUAAGUAUAAACAACUUUGUACUGUGAAACUGCGAAUGGCUCAUUAUAUCAGUUAUAGUCUACUCGAUAGUACCUUACUACUUGGAUAACCGUAGUAAUUCUAGAGCUAAUACAUGCACAAAAUCCCGACUUACGAAGGGAUGUAUUUAUUAGAUACAAACCAACAUCGUGGUGAUUCAUAAUAACUUUGCGAAUCGUAUGCCUCACGGCGACGAUGAAUCAUUCAAAUUUCUGCCCUAUCAACUUUCGAUGGUAAGGUAUUGGCUUACCAUGGUUACAACGGGUAACGGGGAAUUAGGGUUCGAUUCCGGAGAGGGGGCCUGAGAAAUGGCCACCACUUCCAAGGAAGGCAGCAGG
rnacentral:rRNA from 1 species